GAGCCUCAUCAGGACAUGAAAACUUCACAUACCCGAUGUCUUUUGAGCGUCCGUUCUCCAUCAUGACCUGUCAGAAAAAUGCAACCUCCAUAAAACUCAUUUUUUCCGAUAUCUCCAAAUUGUGAUUUUGUAAGGAACACAUCC